rnacentral:lncRNA from 10 species
UUUAACUUCACGGAAAGGACCCGGGGCUCUGUGGCUUCCCAUCCGUCUUGUGACCCGGAAUCAUGGUGAUCUAAAAGAGCCCUGUGACUCUGGGAAAUUUGUUAUCAAAGGAUGUUAGCCACAAGUCCUGUUGGCAAAUGGACCCCAGGUGGCCUGCAGUGCCAAGCUGUUUCCCUGCCAGCCUCCCAGUCUGGCCCUGACUCUCCAAUAAAUCAACCACAUAACACAUUGGGUUAGAUCAAUGCAUCCUCUGUAUCUCUUGGAGCAGCACCAGUGCAGAAUUUUCCUUCUAAGAUCAAUGGCAGGCUGGGAAAAUACCCAGACAUCGGUACACAAUGUGACAAGCAAUAAGGAGUGGAGACUUUUCAAAGGGUGAAACGAGAUGACAGCAGAAGCUGCCAGGCAUGGUGGUGAGCACACAGCAGGCCCUCACUAAAAGUGGAGUCCAAACCCCACACCUCAGCAAAGCUGGUUUAGGAACACUCCAGGGAAUUUCUCAACAUUUUUCCUGUAAGUCAAUGAAGAGCCAUUGGAGGAUUUUAAAUAAGGAACCGAAAAAUGGAGUCUGAAAAUAGAGGCGCAGAGACCGGUUCUUCCCCAAACCAUCAUGGACCAGUUGGACUCUGAGAAGAAAAGUUUCUGAUCUUUAGUUCAUUCUUCCAACUCUCUAGAAAGCAGGAAAACUGAGAAUGAAAAAUUCUAAAUUACUCAGGACUCAUGGGUUGCCAAUAGAAGAAAUACAUCUUAAACUAGCUUAAGCCUGAAAGGGAAAUGUAUUUGUUCAUGUAACUGAACCAUAACGAAGGAUGGUGGACUGAGGGACCUGAAAACACCCUCAGGACUCCCUCCCUCUCCUUUGUGCUCCUGUCUGAUGCCGUCUUCCCAGACCUGCUCACUCUCCAUAAGGUGGGGAUGUGGCCAUCAGCAACGUGUACUUCCCCGAAGCUUGUGACCUGAGUAGAUAGGCAUCUCCCAACCCACAAGGAUUGAAAAGUUCCUCUAGGAAUUAUGUGGAUUGGCCCAUUCACUAUGACAUGUUCCCCCUAAGCAGCUAAAGGAACUGGGUCUGUUACCAGAAGAGGUGGGAGAGGGGUGCUAGGCAGAUUGAACAACAGCCACUACAACAUCUGAGGAGGAGACCUCCGUGAAGGCCACCAAGUCUGCUAGCAGAUAUUUCCUCCCUCGGAUCUCUCUCCCUGUCCUCACAGUCUCAUAAGUGAGGAUUAAAUACUACAUGUGGCCUAGGAGAUCUUAGACCCUCCACACGAAGAUAUAGUAACAAUCAACAUCCUAGUGUUCUGGCAGAGAAAAAAUCAGAAAGAAUCGUUUGCCUGAUUUUUCCAUCAAUACCAAUAAUUAAUUAGAGAUGAAAUUUGUGAUGGACUCAGAGAAUUAGAGAAGAUCUAAGGGAAUCUAGAUGAUUUCCUACCCCUAACCAGAGCCUCACAAAAAAGGGUGAAGAUCUAUGGCCGUCUUGCGUUUGGUGUGAGGCUGGACAAGGAAGUUCCUAAGGUCCUUUAGACUCUGUGAGAUCAUGAGUCCGUAAAACCCUUCCAACUUGAAAUUAGUUGAUUCCUUCCUUAAAUUUUCUGGGACAUUCCCCCACUCCCUCCACUCUUAUUAGCUGAUUUUACUGACCAAUAGGCCUUGAAGUUGGGCGUUCCAUCUAGAUGUCUCACAUCAACUCACCUUUUGCAAAUUAAGCCCAUACCCUUAAAGAGGGGAAUUCUCAAGCCAUUAGAAACUAGAGAGUCAGCUGGGCAUGGUGGCUCACGCCUGUAAUCCCAGAACUUUGGGAGGCCAAGGUGGGUGGAUCACUUGAGGUCAGGAGUUCGAGUCCAGCCUGACCAACAUGGCGAAACCCCGUCUCUACUAAAAAUACAAAAAUUAGCCAGGGGUGAUGGCAUGCACCUGUAAUCCCAGCUACUCAGGAGGCUGAGGCAGGAGAAUUGCUUGAACCUGGGAGGCGGAGGUUGCAGUGAGCCAAGUUUGCACCACAGCACUCCAGCCUGGGCAACAGAGUGAGACUCAGUUUCAAAAAACAAAAGAACAAACAAACAAAAACUAGAGGGUCUCCUCUUAGUUCUUAAACCCUCUUAGUCAACAUUUGUGAGCCUCUUUUCUGUAUGUUUUGGCAUCUUUAUUCCUUUCCUUCGUGUCUUGACCAAAUUCACCAGAUCAUGACUCAGAACAAAAUCCUGAGGUUGAAUAUAGAGGUCUAGAACAUCUUCAAAUUAACUGUUUCUCCUCAUAGAGAAUUAAAGAAAUUGAGAAAGCAAGAG